rnacentral:rRNA from 1 species
GACGAACGCUGGCGGCGUGCCUAACACAUGCAAGUCGGGCGGAGUCGAUCGACGGAAGCCUUCGGGCGGAAGAUGGUUGACUUAGCGGCGGAUGGGUGAGUAACGCGUGGGCAACCUGCCUCGAAGACCGGGAUAACAGCCCGAAAGGGCUGCUAAUACCGGAUGUGGUCAAGGAUCCGCAUGGAUUUUUGAUUAAAGGGGAAACCCGUUUCGAGAUGGGCCCGCGUCCUAUCAGCUAGUUGGUGAGGUAAAAGCUCACCAAGGCGACGACGGGUAGCCGGCCUGAGAGGGUGACCGGCCACACUGGAACUGAGACACGGUCCAGACUCCUACGGGGGGCAGCAGUGGGGAAUCUUCCACAAUGGGCGAAAGCCUGAUGGAGCGACGCCGCGUGAGCGAAGAAGGCCUUCGGUUGUAAAGCUCUGUCUGAGGGACGAAGGAAGUGACGGUACCUCCGGAGGAAGCCACGGCUAACUACGUG